rnacentral:rRNA from 1 species
GGGAAACUUACCAGAUCAAGACAUAGUAAGGAUUGACAGAUUGAGAGUUCUCUCUCGAUUCUAUGGGUGGUGGUGCAUGGCCGUUCUUAGUUGGUGGAGUGAUUUGUCUGGUUAAUUUCGUUAACGAACGAGACCUUAACCUGCUAAAUAGUGCUGAGUUUCUUUUCGAAACGAAGGUAUCUUCUUAGAGGGACGUCACGUGUCUAACGUGAGGAGGUGUGAGGCAAUAA